CCUGUCCCUCGAGGCAUUGCAGGCAUGGCCGCUGUGUCCCGCAUGCGUCAGUAGGUGGCAGAGAGGAGAGAAACCCUGUAGGAGCAGGGGUCUCUUACC
rnacentral:snoRNA from 1 species